GAUGAACGCUGGCGGCGUGCCUAAUACAUGCAAGUCGAGCGAACAGAUGAGGAGCUUGCUCCUCUGACGUUAGCGGCGGACGGGUGAGUAACACGUGGAUAACCUACCUAUAAGUCUGGGAUAACUUCGGGAAACCGGAGCUAAUACCGGAUAAUAUAUUGAACCGCAUGGUUCAAUAGUGAAAGACGGUUUUGCUGUCACUUAUAGAUGGAUCCGCGCCGCAUUAGCUAGUUGGUAAGGUAACGGCUUACCAAGGCAACGAUGCGUAGCCGACCUGAGAGGGUGAUCGGCCACACUCGAACUGAGACACGGUCCAGACUCCUACGGGAGGCAGCAGUAGGGAAUCUUCCGCAAUGGGCGAAAGCCUGACGGAGCAACGCCGCGUGAGUGAUGAAGGUCUUCGGAUCGUAAAACUCUGUUAUUAGGGAAGAACAAAUGUGUAAGUAACUAUGCACGUCUUGACGGUACCUAAUCAGAAAGCCACGGCUAACUACGUG
rnacentral:rRNA from 1 species